AACGUACGCUGGCGGGCAACGCCUAACACAUGCAAGUCGAAACGAAGUAGCAAUACUUAGUGGCAGACGGGUGAGUAACAUGUAGGUAUCUGCCCUUUUGGCCUGGAAUAACACGAGGAAACUUGUGCUAAUACCGGAUAAGUCUUUACGGAGAAAGCUUUAUGCACCAUUGGAUGAGCCUGCACUUGAUUAGUUUGUUGGUGGGGUAAUGGCCUACCAAGACUGUGAUCAAUAGCUGAUUUGAGAGGAUGAUCAGCCACAUUGGGACUGAGACACGGCCCAAACUCCUACGGGAGGCAGCAGUGGGGAAUCUUGCACAAUGGAGGAAACUCUGAUGCAGCGAUGCCGCGUGAGUGAAGAAGGCCUUUGGGUUGUAAAGCUCUUUCGUCGGGGAAGAAAAUGACUGUACCCGAAUAAGAAGGUCCGGCUAACUUCGUGCCAGCAGCCGCGGUAAUACGAAGGGACCUAGCGUAGUUCGGAAUUACUGGGCUUAAAGAGUUCGUAGGUGGUUGAAAAAGUUAGUGGUGAAAUCCCAGAGCUUAACUCUGGAACUGCCAUUAAACUUUUCAGUGAGAGU
rnacentral:rRNA from 1 species